AAGACUGGAGAAGAGUCAAGUUUGGAGGGAAAGUCAACCAGUUUCAUUUUAUAUGAGGUGCCUUUGGAACAUGCAUAUGACCCUUUUCAAGUCCCUUCUGCAUUUGUGAAUCCCUGAUCUGUCCCAGGUGAGUAAGGGAACCACUUUUCCUAUAUCCUGAUGAGUCUUUUUUCUAUCCUAUCAUAGGCAAUGAUGCCUCAGCAGAGGAAGAAUCUUUUCUGAGAAGGAACCAGGGAGAGUCUAUCCUGUUCCACAUAGGCAAAGAUUUUGGAAAUAAGACUCUAUCGAUUGAAUGGAAUUUUCUGACUGAGAAUAUACGCCUACUCAAACUCUGGCCAGAUCAAAGCAAGCCAAUGUGGAUCAAUACUCAGCAGAGAUUCAAAAGCAGACUAUUUAUACAUGACUUAAGUUCUCUGAUGAUCACAAAUCUGACCUCUAAAGAUAGUGGAAAUUAUGAAGCUCACAUUAAAUCAGUCUUGGGAAAGGUACUCACAGAACAAACAUAUCACAUACAGGAAAGAAUGGGCCA
rnacentral:lncRNA from 1 species